AAUUCUCAACUUCAAUACUUGUGUUGAAUGCUUGGAUUGUGGGGGUUGUGCAGAGCGCUUCGUUGUGUUCUGCUCCUCUUAAAUGAAUUAGCGAGUUUCUCCUGAGCUCUAUCUAUUAGUGUGAUAAUUAUCUACGCUAUGGAUUGAACUUAGACUUGCUUCUAACCGUCCGCAAGGACAAUACUUUGACA
rnacentral:misc_RNA from 1 species